rnacentral:ncRNA from 16 species
GGGUAGAUAGUUGUGCGUUAAGUGUGAAGGAAACGGAAUGUGGGCCUUCAACGAAAUGUUUUCGAUAUUGAAAACGUGCGAUGCAACUGUCACAUUCACC